AUUGAACGCUGGCGGCAGGCUUAACACAUGCAAGUCGAGCGGGGUGAUGGUGCUUGCACUAUCACUUAGCGGCGGACGGGUGAGUAAUGCUUAGGAAUCUGCCUAUUAGUGGGGGACAACAUCUCGAAAGGGAUGCUAAUACCGCAUACGUCCUACGGGAGAAAGCAGGGGAUCACUUGUGACCUUGCGCUAAUAGAUGUGCCUAAGUCGGAUUAGCUAGUUGGUGGGGUAAAGGCCUACCAAGGCGACGAUCUGUAGCGGGUCUGAGAGGAUGAUCCGCCACACUGGGACUGAGACACGGCCCAGACUCCUACGGGAGGCAGGAGUGGGGAAUAUUGGACAAUGGGGGGAACCCUGAUCCAGCCAUGCCGCGUGUGUGAAGAAGGCCUUAUGGUUGUAAAGCACUUUAAGCGAGGAGGAGGCUACUGAGACUAAUACUCUUGGAUAGUGGACGUUACUCGCAGAAUAAGCACCGGCUAACUCUGUGCCAGCCGCCGCAGUAA
rnacentral:rRNA from 1 species